GCAUAGAGAGAGAGGGCGCCUUCCAGGCUGGGAAGGGAGCAGCAGCAGGAGAGUCGCGCUCGCCCCUGGCGCGUGGCCUGAUCCAUCGCCCUCCCCCACCGCGGGCACUGGUCGGACCGAGCCGGAGCCCCGCCCCGUGGGUGGGGCCGGGAGCAUCACCCGCGCAGCUUCGCCGGGGCGCCUCCGGCAGGGGGGUGCAACCUGUCUCGGGUAUUCAAGUGUCCUCGAUACCCACCAAACGGAUCCAAAGAGCCUCAACACCAAUGUAACAUCCCACCCUGACCCAUCUUUGCCCUCUGAGGAAAGCGGGCCCGAAAUGAGUUGAGUUACUCAUCCCCACCGCGGGGUCAGCUACAAGAAGCAGUUGAGUGGCCGAGGAGGAAGAGAGAAACGAAUCCACUCGGGUCCUCCAGGCUGUUGGUUACCCACUUGGGCUUUCACAGCAGAGCUGCCAAAUCCCAGAAUUGAGGCCUCGGUGAAAAGCGCGCUUAGACUUGGGGAGGAGGCCAGGUGGGACCCGCGAGCCUUAUCUCCCAGCCAAACUCUGCCGUUCAUUAAGCGGCUGCGUUUCCUCCUAACUGGCGAAGGACUCAGGUGGGCGGGGCAAAGCUCAGCCUGGGAGGCGGCGGAAGCGAGUAGCUCGGCAGGGAGACUCGCUUGGCUUUCGUGCCGUCCGUGGACGCAGUCGCGAGGGGGGAGUAGAUGACAGUGUUCUCCUUAAGGAGGAAGUUUGACUUUUGAAACAUACCACAUGCUUAAAACACAUUUGAGUUCCUGCAUGAACAGUAAGCUAGCAGAUGGUAGAAAUACUCGUUAUUAAUUCAAAAAAUAUUUACUGCGGACCUACAAUGUGCCAAGCAUGUCUCCUGACUCUGGGGAUAAGCAGUGAACAACAAAAAGACAAAGUUCUUCCACGCUGAGGCUUAUAUUCUAGGUCUUUGUGGGAAGAAACAAAGAAAUCACAAAAGUAAUUAAGAGAGCUCAAAUAAUGGGUAAGAGUACCUCAACAACUGAAUUGAGCUAGCUGAAAUUGUGCUUAUUAUGCUUUGUCAAGAACUUUAAUUAUCUCUUCACGGGGUUUAUGCCGGUUACAUACAAGGAUCCUGCAUAUUUUAGGGACCCUAAAGUUUAUAACAUCAGAUAUCGGGAAUAAAUUCUAUCACAUUGCCACUAAUAAACUUUUUUUAUAGUAA